GUCUAUGGCCAUACCACCAUGAAUGUCCCCGAUCUCUUCUGAUCUUGGAAACUAAGCAGGGUUGGGCCUAGUUAAUACUUGGAUGACAGACCACCUGGGAACACCAGGUACUGUAGACU
rnacentral:rRNA from 1 species